rnacentral:lncRNA from 1 species
CCUUAGUGCCUGUUAAAUCUGGACAUUGAAGCACCAGGCAAACCUGGGCUAAUGAAGCCUCAACACCCCAAAGAUGCCUUGUUUAGUGCAGUUAUGGAAUCCCCCUGUGACAUGUCUGCCUGACUUCACCGCUGAACUAAUUAUAUCAUGAAGUCAUCUGAUGAGUGGUGCAGGUUGUCCAGAGAAGUGGACAGAGAGAACAAAGAGGACAGAGAUGCAACUGGACCUGGAGAUAGCGGGAAGGACUACAACCGGAUCAGCAGCAGGGAAGUGACAGUGACAGCAACAAGGACAGUGAAUGAACUGAGACUGUAAACCCCAAAUUGGGGGUUGGACUAAAGGGCUACGAUUUGGAUAGGUAAGGGUGGAGGGAGGGUCUGCAGGGGCGUAGAGGAUUGGAUGCAUUUAUUGUAACGGGAAGUGCAGGUUUCUUAAUGCAGUUUUAAGAUGUGUGAUGGAAAGCUUAUAACCAAGAAUGCAUAUAUAUAACUCUCUAUAUAUAGAAAUAUAUUUUGAUUAAAAAAAAAAAAAAAGUCUCACUGAGAAUCCCACCAGCCUUGUUUUCCUGUGUCCCCUGCACCUGCUGGGACAGACUUCACCUUGCCCACUCCCGGGCACUUGAAUUCUUGGUGCUUUCAGUGCCUUCUCCAUUAACUCACAAGGCCCAGCUGGAUGCCUGUUGUCAAAUGAUUUCCAUGAUACAAAGAAGAAAAGCUAAAUUCUUUUAAUCCUUUCAGGGUGUCGAGCCAGCUCAGAAAAAGCCACCUCCUUUGAGC